AGCGAACGCUGGCGGCAGGCUUAACACAUGCAAGUCGAGCGGGCACUUCGGUGUCAGCGGCAGACGGGUGAGUAACACGUGGGAACGUACCCUUCGGUUCGGAAUAACGCUGGGAAACUAGCGCUAAUACCGGAUACGCCUUCUUGGGGAAAGGUUUACUGCCGAAGGAUCGGCCCGCGUCUGAUUAGCUAGUUGGUGGGGUAAUGGCCUACCAAGGCGACGAUCAGUAGCUGGUCUGAGAGGAUGAUCAGCCACACUGGGACUGAGACACGGCCCAGACUCCUACGGGAGUCAGCAGUAGGGAAUAUUGGACAAUGGGCGCAAGCCUGAUCCAGCCAUGCCGCGUGAAUGAUGAAGGCCUUAGGGUUGUAAAGCUCUUUUGUCCGGGACGAUAAUGACGGUACCGGAAGAAUAAGCCCCGGCUAACUUCGUG
rnacentral:rRNA from 1 species